rnacentral:rRNA from 1 species
CCCUUAGAUGUUCUGGGCCGCACGCGUGCUACACUGAUGCAUUCAACGAGUCUAAAACCUUGUCUGAUAGGGCUGGGUAAUCUUUUGAAAGUGCAUCGUGAUUGGGAUAGAUGAUUGCAAUUCUUCAUCUUCAACGAGGAAUGCCUAGUAAACGCAAGUCAUCAGCUUGCAUUGAUUACGUCCCUGCCCUUUGUACACACCGCCCGUCGCUCCUACCGAUUGAAUGAUCCGAUGAAUACCAUGGAUUGAGAGUACGAAUAGGUUCGCUUAUUUCUGCUGCUCGAGAAGUGGAGUAAAUCUUAUCAUUUAGAGGAAGGAGAAGUCGUAACA